UGAGAGGCGUUCCAGCAUCUGGCUCCACAGAGGGGUAACACAAGUUGAGGGCUGAAGACUGGAGGAGCUUCUUUCUGCACGGCUGGUAUGAUUUGGCUCCAGGGCGGUUUUUGUGUAUUUUCAUCUCGGCAUCAAAGUAUACGUUGCGUGUGAGAGUUUGUGUGAAGUGUAGAUGUGGAAAGUUUCUGUCCGUGCGAUUGAAGCCUCGUGUUGAAAUGUUUGCGCACCCCGCCGUGUGGUUUCAUCUGCUGGCCCUCCUCCGCCCUCUGGCCGAGGCCUCCAUGGACUCCUGCUACGACGAGGAGGGCGCCCCCGGCCGCUGCUUGCCCAAGUUUGAGAACGUGGCCUUCAAUCGUAGCGUGCAGGCGUCCAACGUGUGCGGCUCGCCACCCGAGGAGUACUGCAAGCAGACGGCGUCCAUGCGCUCGUGCCACACCUGCGACUCGUCGGACCCGGGCUUGAGCCACAGCGCCGCCAUGCUGACGGACUUCCACAGGAGCGACGAGCCGACGUGGUGGCAGAGCCAGUCCAUGCACUUUGCCGUGCAGCAUCCCAAUUCUGUCAAGCUUACACUCCACCUGGGAAAGGCCUUCGAGAUAACCUACGUCCGACUGAAAUUUUACACCAGUCGGCCUGAGAGCUUUGCCAUCUACAAACGCACCGAGGUGGAUGGACCUUGGCUGCCCUAUCAGUUCUACAGCGCCUCUUGCCGGGAGACCUAUGGAAAGGGUGAGAAGGGCUUCCUUCGACAGGGAGAUGAUGAGAGGACGGCUUUAUGCACGGAUGAGUUCAGCGAUAUCUCCCCUCUUACUGGCGGAAACGUGGCCUUCUCCACCCUGGAGGGACGGCCCAGUGCCUACAAUUUUGACCAGAGCCUGGUGCUGCAGGAAUGGGUGACGGCCACCGACCUGCUCAUCUCGCUGGACAGACUGAACACCUUCGGGGACGAGGUCUUUAAGGAUGCCAAAGUACUGCGCUCCUACUUCUACGGCAUCUCCGAUUUCUCCGUGGGUGGCAGAUGCAAGUGUAACGGCCACGCCAGCGAGUGCGUGCAGGCGGAGCACGGCGGAGGCGGCCUGGUCUGUGCCUGCCAGCAUCACACGGCAGGCGACGACUGCCAGAAAUGUCAAGCCUUUUACCAGGACAGACCCUGGGCUCGGGCCACUGGGGACUCGGCCAACGAGUGCUUGCGUUGCAACUGCAGCGGGAGGUCGGACGAGUGCAUGUUGGACAUGGAGCAGUACCGCAGCACGGGCAGUGGCGGGCGCUGCCUCAACUGCCGGGACAACACAGACGGCGCCCACUGCGAGCGGUGCCGGGAGAACCACUACAGGAAGUCGGCCGACGAGCCCUGCCUGCCCUGCGACUGCAACACCAACGGCUCCACCAGUCUCCAGUGUGACAGUGAGGGGCGAUGCUCAUGUGCCGGGGGCGUGACGGGGGACAAGUGUGACACCUGUCACGAUGGCUUCCACUCGCUCGGCCCCGGUGGCUGCAGGCCGUGCGAGUGCGCCCCCGCUGGGAGUGUCAGCGUGUGCUCGCCGCUGGACGGCCGCUGCGGCUGCAAGGCCAACGUGGAGGGAGGGAACUGCGGCAGAUGCAAGCCGGGCUUCUUCAACCUGCAAGCAAUCAACCCAGCUGGCUGCCAGCCGUGUUUCUGCUUGGGCCACUCGCUGGCGUGCUCCUCGUCCAAUCACUUUGUCGCUGUCAACAUCACUUCAGAUUUCACGGAAGAUCAUGACGGCUGGCUGGGCGAGUUCUCCGGGAGCCGUCAUUACCCCCUGCUGUGGAAGGAGGGUGAGGUCUAUCUGCUGCCUCUCUCCGAGGAGGACCUGGGCUUCUACAGAGCCCCCGAGAAAUUCCUGACGCAUCAAGUCCGCAGCUACGGCCAGCUCCUCUCCGUCACCUUCACCUCCGAGACCCGGGAGCUCCUUCCCGACCACGUCACCUUGCUGCUGGAAGGCGCCGGAAUCACACUCGCCGCCGACCUUUCACCCGGGGGGGCGCCGGCGGGCGAGCCGGACACGCUCCCGCCGCGCAUCUCCUUCAUCGUCAGGCUGGAUGAAAGCGAGACGAGCUUCAAGCCCACGUUGUCCGCCUUCGACUUCCAGCGUGUUCUUUCCAACGUGACAGCCCUGCGCAUCAGCAACGCGGGAGGAAUCAACUAUACGUCCCAGCUGGCCGGAGUGCGUCUGACCUCUGCUUUUCCCUCCACUGCCGUUGCCGGCGGCCCGCCUGCCCCGUGGGUGGAAUCUUGUUCCUGCCCCAGCGGCUUUGUCGGCCAGUUCUGCGAGCGAUGCGGACCGGGCUUCACCAGGGAGGUCCCCGGCGGCGGGCCUUUCUCCGCGUGUGCGCCGUGCCGCUGCCACCAGCAUGGAACUUGCCACCCGGAGACCGGCGUUUGCGAGUGCUCGGACUUCACCGCCGGGAGGAGCUGCGAGCGCUGCCUGGAUGGUUACUAUGGCAACGCUCUGACCGGCACCCCAGGUGAUUGCCAGCCUUGCCCUUGCCCCGGCCGCAGCAGCUGUGUUCAGGUGACUGAGACUGCGCAGGUGGUCUGCAUCAACUGCCCUGCAGGACAGACAGGCACGCGCUGCCACAUGUGCGACGACGGCUUCUACGGCGACCCGCUGGGCCAAUCGGGAGUGGAGCGGCCGUGCGCCAAAUGCGACUGCAGCGGCAAUGUGGACGCCAACGCGGUGGGGGUGUGCGACCACCUGACAGGGCGCUGCCUGAAGUGCACGGGACACACCGAGGGCGAGCACUGCCAUCUUUGUCGCCAGGGCUACUACGGCGACGCUCGCAGCGACACGGCCGCACCGAAGUGCAAAGCGUGCAGCUGCAACCCGGCUGGAACCUCCGGCCGUGCACAUGAGUGCCACCCUCAGACAGGAAAUUGCGCCUGCCUCGGUCAUGUGACGGGGCGUGAUUGCAGCCACUGUGAGGAAGGCUUUUUUAACCUCCAACCCGGCAUAGGCUGCGAGAGGUGCACGUGUAACCCCGUUGGCUCGUCGUCCACCGCCUGCCACCCGUUCACAGGCCAGUGCUUGUGCCGCGCCGGCGUGGAGGGGAGGCUGUGUGACUCAUGCCGAGUGGGCUUCUUUGCAUUCUCGUCACGAGGAUGCAGAGCCUGUAACUGUGACCCCAUGGGCGCCGUCGCCAUGCAGUGCCACGCCAACGGAACCUGUCCCUGUCGGCCCGGCUUCACGGGCUACAAGUGUGACAAAUGUGAGCUCAACUUUUUCCACAACAGGGACACGCACCAGUGUGAGGAGUGCCCGCCUUGCUACGGACUGGUGCAAAAACAGGCAGAGAAGCUGAGGAUGCGCGUGGAGGAUGUGGAGAAGCUCCUCGCUCGCUUUGAUUGCCGGGGAAGAUUUGGGAAGCAGCGCCCCCCGCAGAGGUAUCAAGCAGACGGGCUUUACGAAGGCGAGCGCCAAGCGGACGAGGCGCUGCCCAACGCUCUGGAGGAAUUCCUGGCCUUCCAAGAGGCUCGCGAGGCCUUCAUGAAACAAUUUUCCUCACUGGAGGCAUCGACGGGCGCGCUCGUCACCCAUCUGCGACAGAUGACACACGCUUUGAACUGCAGCGUCAGUGCCGCUGAAGACCGGGAGGGGGAGAGCGGAGGGGCGUGUGCAAUGCUGGCGGCCCUGGUGCCUGUCAUCGCAGUGUCACAGAAGCAGCUAGAGCAGGCCACGCUCCACCUGGACGCCAUGGUCGUCCCUUUUGAGGCUGCGUCAGGACCUAACAAAUGGAACAUGAUGGUCAAUGAGUCUCAAGUCCUGAACAAAAGUCACAGAGAAAGUGCGGAGCACAUCGAGGCCGUGGCCGGCAGGGCGCUGGCCGCCUCCAAGCGCACCUUCGGUUUUCUGAUGGACGUCCUGCAGGACAACUCCACCGAGGACUACAUCAGGGAGCUAACUCAGCGGAUAGCACGCAUGCAGGAGCAGAGCCACAGUCUGACCGCCCGGAUCGGCGAGAGCGCGGACCGACACGCGUCUCUGCGGGAGGACGCCGCCGGCUUGGAUCCCGUCCUGAGUAACAUCACAACGUCCUUACGUCAGCUGGAGACCACCCUCGCCAGCCCCCCAGGGGAGCUGGACACAACACAGUCCCUUUUGCAAAAGACCAAAGAACUGGAUCAGCACUUUGAGUCCAAAGACGCCGCCAUCAGCAAGACUAGAAACCACACUCUCGCUCUGGUCGAGUCCUUCCAAGAGAAGCAGGAGGCUGUGAGCGACGUCGCAGAGAUGCAGGCUCGCGCUCACGCUGCAAAGGUCCUGGCCCUGACCUCGGUGGUGGCCGGGAAAGAGGUGGAGUCGGAAGCAAUCAGCCUGCACAGGGAUCUAGACGGCAUGGUUCGCGAGUGGCCUCAUCGACAGGCCCAGACCAAAGCUGCCAUGAAGAAGGAGAGGCCCCUGCAGGAUAAAGUUCUAGCUGCGGUCACCAGGAGGAUCUCUGAGAUAGAAACCUUACUAGAACCUGCUCUGGAAAACACCAGCCUGGCCAGGAACGCCUCAAGGGAAGCAGAAGGCGCUGCAAACACCGUGGCCGAGGAAUCCAAAGGCGUCCUGACGCAGGCCAAGCACACGAGGACGGCCUGCGCCCACCUCAGCUCCCACCUUCAAUCCGCCGUGCAGCGUCUGGCCGAGCAGGCCGCGCUAACCGAGAGGGCAAACUCUCUGGCGCCCUCAGAGACGGCGCCCCCUCUGGCUGGCGUGAGGGACGACAUGGAGGCGGCCAAGCAGCAAUUGGAGGCCUACUCUCUCACACUGACCGAGCUCGUCAGCAAAAUCGAUGUGGGCGUGCCGCUGGAGCGCUUCGACCGCAUCCUGAACGAGACGGCGCGUCGCCUGAGCAUGCUCCGUGGCGGCGUGCAGAGCCCCGUGCUGGCCACCAAGAUCCUCAAGCUGCGCUCGGCGGCCGAGGAGCAACAAAGCCGACUGUCUGUGCUGGAGCAGGACUUGCAGGAGAUCAAAGAGGAGAGAGACAGUCUCAGGGACAUUUCCUUAAACUUGCCUAAGUCUUGCCCGCAGGCCAGCGGGGUGGGACGAGGCUAACUCCUGGAGAUGACCCGCUUCCCAAAAUCACUACCGUCCUGCCAUAUUUGUCUCCUUCUUGCCCGCAGCGUGAGGCUAAUUUGGAUGUCUCCUUUCCACUCCAGCUGCUUUUCAUCAACAGGCCUUAAUUGACAAUUAGUGCUGUGGACCUCAGCAGGACAACAACACGCUUCUUCAUUGCUGUCACACUUUAUGAUGCUCACCAGCCAAAAUGUUGACUCUCCCAGUCAUUGCACGCUCGUCUACAGACGUGCCGGGACAUUCCAAAUCCAGUCGCUUCCUCGCGAGCAGCUUUAAGGGCCACGGUUUGGUGCGAGGGCUGCGGGUUGCCCAUGCCUCUUAGGUCAUACCUUGGCUGCAGGAGUGCUACCCAGCGAGCUCAAGCAAACGUUGAACAUUUCGGCAAGAUAUUUCAAUAGAGUAGUCAGUGUGCAGCUUGUAAAGCAGCGUAGACUUGCUAUGACUCAGCUGUUAGUGCCUGAACAUGUCCAAAUCGUGUCCUUGGUGUAACUGCUUAGUGUUGAGCACCACUGCUCCUCGGUGCUGGCAGCACUCGUGCGCGCUACCACCCCCGAGUGAUUCUGUAGGCAAGACACAGUUAUCUUUUUAGUCAAUUGUGUUGCCAGAUAUUUACACAAUAACGGCUGUGUGUUGACUCAUUUUCAGCGGAUAGUAAAUCCAUACCGCUAUACAGGCUGUACACUGACUACUCUAAAGUAUAUCCACGUUUCAUUGACUGCCACCGAGGGUCAGAUGGGGUGCUUUUUUUCUGCUUCACGAUGUCAUAAUACAUGUUGGAAUUCAUCUUUCCCCUCGAUGAACCGCAGCUCGCCCAGUGCUGGCAGCACUCGUGCACACUACCACACAAUGCUUUUCUGUAGGCAAGGCUUCAGUUAUCCUUCUAGUGACUUGUGUUGCCAGAUAUUUACACAAUAAUGGCGCUGUCUUGGCUCAUUUUCAGUGGAAGGCAAAUCUGUACUGCCACACAAGCUGUACACUGACUACCCUAAGCUAUAUCUAAGUUUCAUUGGUAGCCACCAAGGGUAGGGUGUUAUUCAAAAUCAAGGGGGUGCUUUAACAUCCACGAAAGACACAGCAAGAAUAAGUGUAUUAUACAGUCAAUUUUAAGGAGUUUUUCACUUUGAAUCCUUUUUUUUUUUGUUCAAAUUAAGAAUGUUUUCUCUCUGCUGCGCUCCAAUUAGCUGUGUAGGGAAUUGGUCGCGUCGGCAAGUAAAAAAAAAACAAAACACCUUACCCCGCUGCGCCUCCCUUCUCGCUAAAUAGCGACAAUCUUUUCAAAGAUCAGACAUUUAUGGCCCAAAAACACAUUUCCAACUCUGAGUUUGCGUGUAUUAAAAAAAAGAAAAGGAAAACGCAAGAAGCUGUCAUCUUUUGUUGCUGCGCGGCGCAGAUUAAACAGGCCCAUCGCGCAGGUAAAGAUAAAUGUCAGACCAAUUCCAAACAUGUCAGAGAUGACAGGUUAAAAAAAUAAAAUAAAAAAACAAACACGCACACAGAGGGUGCUCUUUGAAAUGGUGCAAGCAUAUGCAAAUACCCGUGUCGGCGUGUAUUGUCAUUUGUAGCGCGUGCUGUCAGCUGCUUUGCUUCUCGUGACGCUAACAAACAUGAAAACAAAAAACAACUUUUUGCUGCACAGUCGUCCCUCGCUCUGUCGCAGUUCGAACAUCGUUCCCUCACUCUAUUGCGGUUUUUCAAAAAUUAAUUAGUAAAUGAUUGCUGUUUCGUGGUUGACGAUGGCCUAUUAUUAGUCCAAAAAAUGCAUAUUUAAGCAAAUCGUACGUAUUCGUGGCCUAAAUUACCGUAUUUUCCGGACUGUAAGUUGCACUUUUUUCAUGGUUUGGCUGGUCCUGUGACUUAUACUCCGGAGCGACUUAUAUAUGUUUUUUUUCCACACUGACAGCCAUGAGAGGGCGCUCUAGUCUUGUCUGCGACUCCUAUCACUCCUGUACCACUGAACAUGUACAAUGUAAACAAAUGCCCCCAAAAAGAAAAUCAUGGUCUGCAGAUCACAAGCUGCAAGUAAACUAGUUAAACUAGUUGUGUUGUUAUGGCUAUAGUUAUCUGAAUAACUGCUACUAUGUUACGUUAACAUAUCACCUGAGCGCUGUCGUAAAAAGUAGCUAAAGGAGGAAGUGACGUCGUCCGUCUUGUGUUCCGGGUACGCAUUGCGCAGUGACACUCAUGUGCAUAAGUCUGUCGCCUUCCGCUUUUCAAGACUUAAGAGAAGUGGAAUUACUUCUGCGAGUCAUUACGGACUAUAAGACAUCAAAAUGUGAGGAGAAUGUUGACUGGGGUGAGCCAUGUCUGUCGCAAUGUUCAGAUAUUAUGUUGGUUUGUCGUCAAAGCUCACUUCUGGUCACGUGACGGCGACGAGUCUGUGACGUCAUAGUUUUUUUCUUGCCUGUAUACACUGCAAUGACACCAACGUUCUCAGGUUUUUCCACUCUGGAAAAACUACCGUUUCAGAUCACCCAUUAGUUUGUCUGCAGUAUGUGUUGUUGUCCAUGUUUCCAUGUUAUUGUGUGCAUGUUUGUGUGUGUGUAGGAUAGCGGCAUCAAGUGUACAGCUGGCGGGCGGUAAAGGAGUUAACGUGUGUGUGUAACCUGAUUGAGUCAGCAUUGCGUUGCAUUUAUCACACACGUCGCCAUGGAGAACACACACUCUGAGAUAUUUCCCAUGUGGGGCCGCUUGUCAAGCAGAUACAGAUGAGUUCUCGCAGGCAGCAAUGGAGACGUAACAGAUGAGGUUGACGCAAAAUAAAGAGCAGAUAUUUGGGAGCGGCCGACGUGAUGGGAGUUCCAGGACUGCUGGCGUUGCGUCAGGACAGAGAAACAACACAUGCAACACAAUCAUUCAUUUCUGUCAGGCUGUAGAAACACACGAUUGAAUGGAGGAUGACGCAGAUCGACACUGAUAUCGCUAUCAUUGUUCUCACUUCAUUCAAACGCUUUGAGUUAAUUAGCCAAGUGAAUUGUUUGCAGCGUGUCACCCAUUUCUCUACAGAGUUGCCCGUUUCAGCAUGCAACUUAUUUUAAAGCCAUUCCCGCCUUUGAAGUGAAGAGCGGAUGUCAUUAGUUUCGUUCAUCCUUAUUGAACGCACUUAAUUUUUUUCCUCCCAGGGUUGCGUCAGGAAGCUUUGUAGCAUUUGGCCAAUCAACUAAACGGAAGGCUGUUUAUUUAGUGUCUUUGUUAUGCAACAAACAGCCGGAUGGAUGCAGUAUGAGCAAGAGCCUGCACGAGGCAACGUGUCACCUUGCUUCUGAGACUCGAUGCUGCCCCCGUGUGGUGCGUUGGAGACAGCCGUAAAAAUGAUAACCAAAAUAUUACAAACACUAGUCGGUAUGAUGCAGUGCCGCAGUAACAAAUAUUAUACAGUAGGGGUGUCCAAACUUUUUCCAGCGAGAGCCACAGUCAGUUGCUGCUUAUAUAUUUAUAACUUACAAAUAUGUUUUAUAUAUUUAUACACACACACAUAUAUAGAUAUAUUUUUUUCAAUUUUGUAAAAAAAAAAAAAAAAGGCAGAAAAACAUUGAUCUACUGUUUAUAAUUUAGAUUUCAUUGUAAUUUGUGCACACCUGGAGGUAAGAAGGACUUGAAUAAAUUAGGAUUUCACCAACUGUACCUGCUGAUUUGUUUAAUGAAAUAUCAUGACAUCACGACUACCACAUCACUACUAUCAGGGGAAACAGAGUAUAGAGCGGGGGAGCCACCUGCUGUGGCCCAGCAAGGUGCAGUAUAGCACACACUCCGAGCAACCAGUGUGCUGCUACGGAGGUCUCUGGCAAACCUUUUGCACUUGUCAAACACCGCGGCGCUGGAGUUUCAGGUGGCUGAUGAGGUUUUAUUGUGUGCGCGAUUGGGUUUUUUCCCCUCAUUGCGGAGCGUUUGGUACAACGUCCUUCCCCCGAAAGUGAGUGAGUGUUUACAAGUGAGCUCAGGGGAAGCUACGACAGGCCAUUAACGUCACAGGAGCGCUUGAUUUCCCACCUGCACAGCACGGCUAAUCUCGCCUAAUUGGAGCGUUUAUUAAAUUAUUGGUUAUCAGACCUAUUUUUAAUGUUGUCACAUUUGUCAGUGUGACGUCAUUCUCUUUUCAACGUGAAAUCCACAACAUUUGCGCUAAUACUUCACAAAUGAAACUCAAUUGUAACCAGAUGUUCCUGGUCAUGUGACAUGAUUGUUAACGGCCACUUGUUACCAGGCGGAAGUGCUGACUUCACAGUAGAUAUGCUAAUAGUGGCUGUACAUCAGGAGGAACUGCGUGAACUCGCGAGUCUGAUAAUUCCCCUAAACGUCACAAGUGGACGCGAGCGACUCCACAAUUAAUGUUGACACCUUGCAAGAACCUCCUGACAUCAGCAGGUCAUUAAACACGAGGAGGACGGGGCUGACUCGGAGCUGUAAUGCAUGCUGAGUCAUGGCAGGCGUUUGUCCACAGCCGUCAUUACUUCCAUGCGCUCCUCCAUCUUGGAUAAGGAGAGGCGGCCGUGAUGAAAAUGGCCCACAAAUGUAAAUGAAAGGCGCAUUCGUCACCGGCCCAACGAGCCCAGCGUGUGAUGAAACAUAACUCAGGUGCGCCAACUUCAAGCCCCCCUCCCUCCGCAUCAAAUAUCACCAUCAUGCCUGGCAAAGACGCCAUGAUGUCAAUGAGCCAUGACAGAAAGACUGGCACAUAUAAGAGAAAUGUCUGUAAUCUCACCUUUUAUUAGCGCCUCUCUUCCUCCCUGGGGAGCUCGUGCAGCCUCAAUAAGUCACUUUCCAGGAAAAUACAACACCCUCAAGCUCAACAACAAAGUCAUCCUUUGUUUUAAAGCACCUUCUUCUUACUAUCUUCCGCUUACUGUACACCUGUAUUCACCUUUUUACCUUGAUUACCUCUACCCUUAAUACCUUUAUUUUGCAUUAUUAUCACCUAUGGUCACAUUUAUUUACCUUUAUUACCUUUAUUUUGCAUUAUUAUUACCUAUGGUCACAUUUAUUUACCACUAUCUUUAUUAUCUGUAAUCACCUUUAUUUACUGUUAUUACCUUAACCUUUAUUUAGCAUCAUCACAUUUAUUUACCUGUAUUUGCCAUAAUACUUUGUUUUGGUGGGGUUGUGUCCAAGCCCGUUAAUUAAAAUGCGCACAUUUAUGUUAGGAUACAGUUUUUGAGCAUGUAAAAGCUUGCAAAAAAACCCAAAUGAUUUAUCUGCUAUUGAAGUUUAAAAUGCAGUUGUCUGCGUCAGACAGUGACAACAGAAAGGGAUCCAGGACGCUUCCCUGUGGAAUUCCGUGGCUCACAGGCAUGAACGCCUAGGUCCACUUGGGUCAUAAUUCAAA